rnacentral:rRNA from 1 species
UGCAUCGAUGAAGAACGCAGCGAAAUGCGAUACGUAGUGUGAAUUGCAGAAUUCCGCGAAUCAUCGAGUCUUUGAACGCAAGUUGCGCCCGAGGCUUGUCCGAGGGCAUUUCCGCUAGAGCGUCACCGCGCCCCCCACCGAUCCACUCUCGCCGCGAGGCGCCAGUCGGGUCGAGUGCAAGUGGCCGUCCCGGUGAAGUGGCCUCCUUUCACGAGGAGGCUAAGUUACGGGUCGGCUGAAAUGGAUGGAAUUGGGCCGCCGUGGUGACACAGUCCGCGAUCGGGUGAUUUUGUCGCGAGCCUCCUGCGGUGCGGGAGGUUCUUGGUGAAUUUUUCUAAGUGGUUGGCUGCGUCCCCCAGUUGGCUCGGGUUACCUCAUGCAGGUCUUGCGCGCCCCCGCGGCGCGCGUCACGCAUCAGACCUCUAAUCGGAAAAGACUACCCGCUGAGUUUAAGCAUAUCAAUAAGCGGAGGA